GUGAGUAACACGUGGGCAAUCUGCCCUGCACUCUGGGACAAGCCCUGGAAACGGGGUCUAAUACCGGAUGACACCCCCUCUCGCAUGGGAGGGGGUUGAAAGCUCCGGCGGUGCAGGAUGAGCCCGCGGCCUAUCAGCUUGUUGGUGAGGUAGAAGCUCACCAAGGCGACGACGGGUAGCCGGCCUGAGAGGGCGACCGGCCACACUGGGACUGAGACACGGCCCAGACUCCUACGGGAGGCAGCAGUGGGGAAUAUUGCACAAUGGGCGAAAGCCUGAUGCAGCGACGCCGCGUGAGGGAUGACGGCCUUCGGGUUGUAAACCUCUUUCAGCAGGGAAGAAGCGAAAGUGACGGUACCUGCAGAAGAAGCGCCGGCUAACUACGUGCCAGCAGCCGCGGUAAUACGUAGGGCGCAAGCGUUGUCCGGAAUUAUUGGGCGUAAAGAGCUCGUAGGCGGCUUGUCACGUCGGUUGUGAAAGCCCGGGGCUUAACCCCGGGUCUGCAGUCGAUACGGGCAGGCUAGAGUGUGGUAGGGGAGAUCGGAAUUCCUGGUGUAGCGGUGAAAUGCGCAGAUAUCAGGAGGAACACCGGUGGCGAAGGCGGAUCUCUGGGCCAUUACUGACGCUGAGGAGCGAAAGCGUGGGGAGCGAACAGGAUUAGAUACCCUGGUAGUCCACGCCGUAAACGGUGGGAACUAGGUGUUGGCGACAUUCCACGUCGUCGGUGCCGCAGCUAACGCAUUAAGUUCCCCGCCUGGGGAGUACGGCCGCAAGGCUAAAACUCAAAGGAAUUGANGGGGGCCCGCACAAGCAGCGGAGCAUGUGGCUUAUUUCGACGCAACGCGAAGAACCUUACCAAGGCUUGACAUA
rnacentral:rRNA from 1 species